rnacentral:rRNA from 1 species
UACGGGGGGGGCAAGCGUUGUUCGGAAUUACUGGGCGUAAAGGGCGCGUAGGCGGCCUGCUAAGUCGGACGUGAAAUCCCUCGGCUCAACCGGGGAACUGCGUCCGAUACUGGUGGGCUCGAAUCCGGGAGAGGGAUGUGGAAUUCCAGGUGUAGCGGUGAAAUGCGUAGAUAUCUGGAGGAACACCGGUGGCGAAGGCGGCAUCCUGGACCGGUAUUGACGCUGAUGCGCGAAAGCCAGGGGAGCAA